rnacentral:rRNA from 1 species
AAGAUGAGAUUUCCCAUCGCGAUAAGCGAGUAAGAUCCCUUGAAGAUGACGAGGUAGAUAGGUCCGAGGUGGAAGCGUGGUGACACGUGGAGCUGACGGAUACUAAUCGAUCGAGGACUUAACCAA